rnacentral:rRNA from 1 species
UAAAAAUAAAUAAAUAACCACCAGAAAUUAAAUAAGACAUAUGAAUUAAAUUCAUUUCCUGAAAAACCAGAAACCAC